GUUCCUAAGUCUCAACUAUCAAUUCCAAAGCCUUUCCUCGUUUCUCUCUUUCCGUCAUCGUCGAAACAUCAAAAUGAGGAUCUCACCGUUCAGAUCUAUCAAAACACCUAAGAACUCUGCUUCACACCUCAUCCGCCGUGGCUAUGGCUCGGAAGCCGUUCUCAGCGCUGCCGUCGGGAUCGGUCAGUCAUUUGCUCUACUCAUGAAGCUCAAUUCUCUCGUCUCCAAUCUCGCUUUCUAUGAUAUUGCUAACAUCCCUGGAGUCUCCGCCUAUGUUAGGCACACCAGCACCAGAUCUAGGGUUUCACAUCACUUCCUGUAAUUUCGACGACUUGUAAUAGAUUCAUAAAGCGCUUCUUCCGCGACUUAUGUAAGUUCAUUGUUUGGAUUUCUGGUUUCUCUUUUCCUUGAGUUGAAUUCAGUUGCAGGUUUUCUUUUGUUAAUUUCCUGUCGCUUAGAUUCAGAUGUUUUGAGCUUGGAUCCUCUCCUUCCUUUUGGCGAAAGGUUUCAUAAAAAGCUGUUCACUUUGAUACUUUCGUGGAUUUAUCUGCACAGCUUCAUGCAGCUUUAUUGGUGGUUGACCGCGGCACAGUAUAGCUGGCGAAUCUAGUGGCAAAUUGGGCAGCACUACUGCUGAAAAGGGAAAAGGCCCG
rnacentral:misc_RNA from 1 species